ACGGGUGAGUAACGCGUAGGUAACCUGCCUGGUAGCGGGGGAUAACUAUUGGAAACGAUAGCUAAUACCGCAUAACAGUAGAUGUUGCAUGACAUUUGCUUAAAAGGUGCAAUUGCAUCACUACCAGAUGGACCUGCGUUGUAUUAGCUAGUUGGUGGGGUAACGGCUCACCAAGGCGACGAUACAUAGCCGACCUGAGAGGGUGAUCGGCCACACUGGGACUGAGACACGGCCCAGACUCCUACGGGAGGCAGCAGUGGGGAAUAUUGCGCAAUGGGGGCAACCCUGACGCAGCCAUGCCGCGUGAAUGAAGAAGGCCUUCGGGUUGUAAAGUUCUUUCGGUAGCGAGGAAGGCAUUUAGUUUAAUAGACUAGGUGAUUGACGUUAACUACAGAAGAAGCACCGGCUAACUCCGUGCCAGCAGCCGCGGUAAUACGGAGGGUGCGAGCGUUAAUCGGAAUAACUGGGCGUAAAGGGCACGCAGGCGGUGACUUAAGUGAGGUGUGAAAGCCCCGGGCUUAACCUGGGAAUUGCAUUUCAUACUGGGUCGCUAGAGUACUUUAGGGAGGGGUAGAAUUCCACGUGUAGCGGUGAAAUGCGUAGAGAUGUGGAGGAAUACCGAAGGCGAAGGCAGCCCCUUGGGAAUGUACUGACGCUC
rnacentral:rRNA from 1 species